UACGUAGGGCGCAAGCGUUGUCCGGAAUUAUUGGGCGUAAAGAGCUCGUAGGCGGUCUGUCGCGUCUGCCGUGAAAACCCGAGGCUUAACCUCGGGCUGGCGGUGGAUACGGGCAGACUAGAGGUAGGUAGGGGAGAAUGGAAUUCCCGGUGUAGCGGUGAAAUGCGCAGAUAUCAGGAGGAACACCGGUGGCGAAGGCGGGUCUCUGGGCCGAUAUUGACGCUGAGGAGCGAAAGCGUGGGGAGCGAACAGG
rnacentral:rRNA from 1 species